rnacentral:rRNA from 1 species
UACGUAGGUGACAAGCGUUGUCCGGAUUUACUGGGAGUAAAGAGCGCGCAGGCGGUCGAUCAAGUCGGGUGUGAAAGCCCCCGGCUCAACUGGGGAGGGUCAUUCGAUACUGAUCGACUCGAAGGCAGGAGAGGGUAGUGGAAUUCCCGGUGUAGUGGUGAAAUGCGUAGAUAUCGGGAGGAACACCAGUGGCGAAGGCGACUACCUGGCCUGUUCUUGACGCUGAGGCGCGAAAGCUAGGGGAGCAAACGGG